GCAGUCGUGGCCGAGUAAUUAAGGCGAUGGUCUAGAAAUCCAUUGGGGUCUCCCGCACAGGGUCGAAUCCAGUCGACUGCG
rnacentral:tRNA from 2 species